GCGAGAAAACCUUUGCAAUGUGCGCAAGCACGACAAGGUUAAUCCGAGUGUUUCCUGCUAAAGGAAUCUUUUGUUAGUCCUAAAAACACUAGCGAAUAAGGGGUGGGCAAGUUCUGGUGUCAGCCGCCGCGGUAAAACCAGCAUCUCAAGUGGUCAGGAGGAUUAUUGGGCCUAAAGCUUCCGUAGCCUGCUUUGUUAGUUUUCGGUAAAUCUAUUCGCUCAACGAAUAGGCUGCCGGGAAUACUGCAAAGCUAGGGAGUGGGAGAGGUAGACGGUACUCGGUAGGAAGGGGUAAAUCCUUUGAUCUAUUGAUGACCACCUGUGGCGAAGGCGGUCUACCAGAACACGUCCGACGGUGAGGGAUGAAGCUGGGGGAGCAAACCGGAUUAGAUACCCGGGUAGUCCCAGCUGUAAACUAUGCAAACUCAGUGAUGCAUUGGCUUGAUGCCAAUGCAGUGCUGCAGGGAAGCCGUUAA
rnacentral:rRNA from 2 species